rnacentral:rRNA from 1 species
GAUGAACGCUGGCGGCGUGCCUAAUACAUGCAAGUAGAACGCUGAAGGAAGGAGCUUGCUCUUUCCGGAUGAGUUGCGAACGGGUGAGUAACGCGUAGGUAACCUGCCUGGUAGCGGGGGAUAACUAUUGGAAACGAUAGCUAAUACCGCAUAACAGUAGAUGUUGCAUGACAACUAUUUGAAAGGGGCAAUUGCUCCACUACCAGAUGGACCUGCGUUGUAUUAGCUAGUUGGUGAGGUAACGGCUCACCAAGGCGACGAUACAUAGCCGACCUGAGAGGGUGAUCGGCCACACUGGGACUGAGACACGGCCCAGACUCCUACGGGAGGCAGCAGUAGGGAAUCUUCGGCAAUGGACGGAAGUCUGACCGAGCAACGCCGCGUGAGUGAAGAAGGUUUUCGGAUCGUAAGGCUCGGUUGUAAGAGAAGAACGAGUGUGAGAGUGGAAAGUUCACACUGUGACGGUAUCUUACCAGAAAGGGACGGCUAACUACGUG